AAGUUACAAGUUUUUAUUUCCUUUGAUCAGGGAAACAUCCAACUAAAUGUUGACUGUCAUUCAACAUAGCACUUGGAUUUUCAGCACAGAAACAUAUUUCACCAGAGAUAAACAAAGUGCAAGGAUAAAAGUCAUUUUACUGUGUAGAUCUCAUAAAAAUAAACCGCUUUGCCUUUAUAGCUGGACUCUCUUCCCAACAACAUAUGUAAAACUACUAGCAAAUUGUGAAAUACCGGGGAACCCAACCUAGAUGCCUUUUAUGAUGUUAAUGAAAUUAAACUGUACUUAAAUUAAAAUCCAAUCUACAGUAUACUAAUGGUUCAGCCAAGCGUUUCCCCUUGUCUUAAUACAAUUUUGUAGGCCAACCCUCCUUAGACAUAUUUUCCAUGUAAGCACUUCUGUCUCCAUUCAUACAAGAGAAUGCACCUUCAUUGCUGCUAAUUUCAACCGUGCUUUGGAACAAUCUGUUUUACAAGUUUAUUCUGAAUUCAGAACUGACUCAGUUGUUCAAAACUAUCCACCAAAAAAUCACACUGGAAGGAUAAACCACUAAGUGACAACUCUCUACAAAACAGAACCCUACAAUUUCUGUAGUUCAGACACCUUGGGCUCAAUGUUCUCACUGUUUACAUGAGCAUAAAUCAGAAGUAACUUCAGAAAGUUACUCAAGAGCGCAACAAUUUUGGACAAGAGAUAAGAGCCUUUCAAUACUCUUCCAUCACUGCUCUACACAGUUGGUAACCAAAUGACAACACAUCAUACCUUCACAGUGGAACUCUAAAAAAUAAAAAACAGGAUGUUAAAUAUGGAGAUAAAUAAUAUUAACCACCAAUAUAUAGCUAAUGAAUUAUGAGGAAUACUAUUGGUGACCACUGUAGUGGAACCUAGAGGAGAUGUUCAAUAAUUAUAGCAGCAGAUUUCUAACAUAGAGGUCUGAGAGAUCCCCUUUAAUGAGAAAGUCAUUAGUAACAUAGCUAAUUUCCAGUUAUCUUCCCAAACAUUCUGAAAAAAGCCUUAGGAAUUCAAGAUUAAUUGUGAAAAUCACAUGAGAUGAUAAACAACUAAGCUACAACUCUGUAUAUGACAGAGCAUUAUAAGCAAGUUAGUUCUUCUUAGCAAGUAACUGGAAGAGAGCUGUAGCUGUUAGAAAGCCAGUUACAAGAAAAACGGGUGUCGUUUUCCAAUUGAUCACACGGAUUUUAUGAGGCAGCACAAAUCGCUUAUGUGGAUGUUGGUCCAAACUGAGGGGGCAUUUGUUUGUUUGUCUCACUUCUCAUAUUCUUUUGGUGCAGAAACUAGCUGGACUUCUUUUCCAACAUAAAGUCCUGUAUAACAGAGCAGAUUUUGCUGCCAGCCACAGAAAAAUUUAAUGGAAGAAUUGCUUUCUCCUCAAAUGUUUCAUCUCACUUCAGAGAUGUGGCCAUCACUAACACCACACACACACAAACACUCCUCCAACCCACCAAAUCUGAGAAACACGGAACCCCAUUUGGUAUCAGUUAUUACAACAACGGCUCCAGUGAAGUCCCAGAAGUUACAUUGGUCUGAGAGCAGUUCUGGGGAGAGAUUUAUAGUGUCCAGGAACAAAAUUUUAACAAAAAAGAUUCAUUUUAUCUCAUUGUCCUGCAUCAUCUUCAAUCCCAGUUUCUCCACCAUUGUCCUUGUGGCCCAUCAUAUAGCCAAUUUUCUGGACUCUGUGCACGUAAAGACCAUCUCUUGCAC
ensembl:lncRNA